GCUGGAUCGUGCACCUGGGCAACUACAGAUAUAGGAGACCACACAUCAGUCUAGAAGGAUUUGUGAUUACUUAGAUCCUAAAUCUCGACAAAUCAUGGUAACAACUUAAAAUAUUAUUUAUUAAGUUUUUAUAUAUAUUGAUAUAUAUAGACUAAUAAAAUUUUAAACUGUAUAGACGGAUUACAUGGAGUAUCUCAUAUCGCAGCAUAGUGAGGACCCAUCCUCUCAGCCCCUCCUUGACCUCGAGAGAUAUCUUAGGGCCACU
rnacentral:lncRNA from 1 species